UUGAAUCUUCCGCCUCACUCUAGCCACCAUUGUCCCAGUAUACCAUUGAAUNNNNNAUUCAAUGGUAUACUGGGACAAUGGUGGCUAGAGUGAGGCGGAAGAUUCA
rnacentral:pre_miRNA from 1 species